rnacentral:rRNA from 1 species
GGUAGAGAGAAGCUUGCUUCUCUUGAGAGCGGCGGACGGGUGAGUAAUGCCUAGGAAUCUGCCUGGUAGUGGGGGAUAACGUUCGGAAACGGACGCUAAUACCGCAUACGUCCUACGGGAGAAAGCAGGGGACCUUCGGGCCUUGCGCUAUCAGAUGAGCCUAGGUCGGAUUAGCUAGUUGGUGGGGUAAUGGCUCACCAAGGCGACGAUCCGUAACUGGUCUGAGAGGAUGAUCAGUCACACUGGAACUGAGACACGGUCCAGACUCCUACGGGAGGCAGCAGUGGGGAAUAUUGGACAAUGGGCGAAAGCCUGAUCCAGCCAUGCCGCGUGUGUGAAGAAGGUCUUCGGAUUGUAAAGCACUUUAAGUUGGGAGGAAGGGCAGUUGCCUAAUACGUAACUGUUUUGACGUUACCGACAGAAUAAGCACCGGCUAACUCUGUGCCAGCAGCCGCGGUAAUACAGAGGGUGCAAGCGUUAAUCGGAAUUACUGGGCGUAAAGCGCGCGUAGGUGGUUUGUUAAGUUGGAUGUGAAAUCCCCGGGCUCAACCUGGGAACUGCAUUCAAAACUGACUGACUAGAGUAUGGUAGAGGGUGGUG